UUGAAGUUUGUUCCUGGCUCAGGAUGAACGCUGGCGGCGUGCUUAACACAUGCAAGUCGAGCGAUGAAGUUUCCUUCGGGAAACGGAUUAGCGGCGGACGGGUGAGUAACACGUGGGUAACCUGCCUCAUAGAGUGGAAUAGCCUUCCGAAAGGAAGAUUAAUGGGGCAUUAUGUUGAAAGAUGGCAUCAUCAUUCAACCAAAGGUGCAAUCCGCUUUGAUAUGGACCCGAGGCGCAUUUUCUAGUUUGGUGGGGUAACGGUCUACCAAGGCGACUAUGCGUUGCCGACCUGAGAGGGUGAUCGGCCACAUUGGGACUGUUACACGGCCCACACUCCUACGGGAGGCAGCAGUGGGGAAUAUUGCACAAUGGGGGAAACCCUGAUGCAGCAACGCCGCGUGAGUGAUGAAGGUUUUCGGAUCGUAAAGCUCUGUCUUUGGGGAAGAUAAUGACGGUACCCAAGGAGGAAGCCACGGCUAACUACGUGCCAGCAGCCGCGGUAAUACGUAGGUGGCGAGCGUUAUCCGGAUUUACUGGGCGUAAAGGGAGCGUAGGCGGAUGAUUAAGUGGGAUGUGAAAUACCCGGGCUCAACUGGGGUGCUGCAUUCCAAACUGGUUAUCUAGAGUGCAGGAGAGGAGAGUGGAAUUCCUAGUGUAGCGGUGAAAUGCGUAGAGAUUAGGAAGAACACCAGUGGCGAAGGCGACUCUCUGGACUGUAACUGACGCUGAGGCUCGAAAGCGUGGGGAGCAAACAGGAUUAGAUACCCUGGUAGUCCACGCCGUAAACGAUGAAUACUAGGUGUGGGGGUUUCAACACCUCCGUGCCGCCGCUAACGCAUUAAGUAUUCCGCCUGGAGAGUACCGUCGCAAGAUUAAAACUCAAAGGAAUUGACGGGGACCCGCCAAGUAGCGGAGCAUGUGGUUUAAUUCGAAGCAACGCGAAGAACCUUACCUACACUUGACAUCCCUUGCAUUACUCUUAAUCGAGGAAAUCCCUUCGGGGACAAGGUGACAGGUGGUGCAUGGUUGUCGUCAGCUCGUGUCGUGAGAUGUUGGGUUAAGUCCCGCAACGAGCGCAACCCUUGUCGUUAGUUACUACCAUUAAGUUGAGGACUCUAGCGAGACUGCCUGGGUUAACCAGGAGGAAGGUGGGGAUGACGUCAAAUCAUCAUGCCCCUUAUGUGUAGGGCUACACACGUGCUACAAUGGCUGGUACAGAGAGAUGCAAUACCGCGAGGUGGAGCCAAACUUAAAAACCAGUCUCAGUUCGGAUUGUAGGCUGAAACUCGCCUACAUGAAGCUGGAGUUACUAGUAAUCGCGAAUCAGAAUGUCGCGGUGAAUACGUUCCCGGGUCUUGUACACACCGCCGUCACACCAUGAGAGUUGGCAAUACCCGAAGUCCGUGAGCUAACCGCAAGGAGCAGCGGCCGAGGUAGGGUCAGCGAUUGGGGUGAAGUCGUACAAGGGG
rnacentral:rRNA from 1 species